rnacentral:rRNA from 1 species
CAGUCGUACCUUCGGGUAAUCAGCCUUUCGGGUGCGAUUCUGUGGGGUUUGAGGAGCUUAACACCUUCAUGCUUUUGCAUAUUCGUGCUCUUGGGUGUACUUGCCCGUGUGGUUGGUUAACAUCAAUUUCGGGCACCAUAAAAUGGCUGGAGGAAUGUAGCUUCGAUCUUGUAUUGAAGUGUUAUAGCCUUCGGUAGAUGUGGUGAUCGAGAUUGAGGAUUGCAACGGAUACCUUUCGGGGGCUACCUGUCUGAUCUCUGAUCGUUGCUUUGGUGCUUGAAAGCGUGCUAGCGGACGCGGGAGCGGCGGU